GCCUGGUUGGCUCAGCCUGUGGAGCACGUGACUCUUGAUCUUGGAGUCGUGGGUUUGAGUCCCACAUUGGAGG
rnacentral:tRNA from 1 species